UACGUAGGGUGCAAGCGUUAAUCGGAAUUACUGGGCGUAAAGCGUGCGCAGGCGGUUGUGUAAGACAGAUGUGAAAUCCCAGGGCUCAACCUGGGAACUGCAUUUGUGACUGCACAGCUGGAGUGCGGCAGAGGGGGAUGGAAUUCCGCGUGUAGCAGUGAAAUGCGUAGAUAUGCGGAGGAACACCGAUGGCGAAGGCAAUCCCCUGGGCCUGCACUGACGCUCAUGCACGAAAGCGUGGGGAGCAAACAGG
rnacentral:rRNA from 1 species